rnacentral:rRNA from 1 species
AUGAACGCUGGCGGCGUGCCUAAUACCUGCAAGUCGAGCGAACAGAUGAGGAGCUUGCUCCUCUGACGUUAUCGGCGGACGGGUGAGUAACACGUGGAUAACCUACCUAUAAGACUGGGAUAACUUCGGGAAACCGGAGCUAAUACCGGAUAAUAUAUUUAACCGCAUGGUUCAAUAGUGAAAUACGGUUUUGCUGUCACUUAUAGAUGGAUCCGCGCCGCAUUAGCUAGUUGGUAAGGUAACGGCUUACCAAGGCGACGAUGCGUAGCCGACCUGAGAGGGUGAUCGGCCACACUGGAACUGAGACACGGUCCAGACUCCUACGGGAGGCAGCAGUAGGGAAUCUUCCGCAAUGGGCGAAAGCCUGACGGAGCAACGCCGCGUGAGUGAUGAAGGUCUUCGGAUCGUAAAACUCUGUUAUUAGGGAAGAACAAAUGUGUAAGUAACUAUGCACGUCUUGACGGUACCUAAUCAGAAAGCCACGGCUAACUACGUG